ACUCCUACGGGAGGCAGCAGUGAGGAAUAUUGGUCAAUGGACGAGAGUCUGAACCAGCCAAGUAGCGUGAAGGAUGACUGCCCUAUGGGUGGUAAACUUCUUUUAUAAGGGAAUAAAGUGAGGGACGUGUCCCUUUUUGUAUGUACCUUAUGAAUAAGGAUCGGCUAACUCCGUGCCAGCAGCCGCGGUAAU
rnacentral:rRNA from 1 species